rnacentral:rRNA from 1 species
AGCCUAACACAUGCAAGUCGAACGGUAACAGGAAGUGCUUGCACUUCGCUGACGAGUGGCGGACGGGUGAGUAAUGCUUGGGAACAUGCCCUUGUGAGGGGGAUAACAGUUGGAAACGACUGCUAAUACCGCAUAACGUCUUAGGACCAAAGGGGGGUUUAGGCCUCUCGCACAAAGAGUGGCCCAAGUGAGAUUAGCUAGUUGGUGAGGUAAAGGCUCACCAAGGCGACGAUCUCUAGCUGUUCUGAGAGGAAGAUCAGCCACACUGGGACUGAGACACGGCCCAGACUCCUACGGGAGGCAGCAGUGGGGAAUAUUGCACAAUGGGGGAAACCCUGAUGCAGCCAUGCCGCGUGUGUGAAGAAGGCCUUCGGGUUGUAAAGCACUUUCAGACGUGAGGAAAGGGUGGUGGUUAAUACCCAUCAUCUGUGACGUUAGCGUCAGAAGAAGCACCGGCUAACUCCGUGCCAGCAGCCGCGGUAAUACGGAGGGUGCGAGCGUUAAUCGGAAUUACUGGGCGUAAGCGCACGCAGGCGGUUUGUUAAGCUAGAUGUGAAAGCCCCGGGCUCAACCUGGGAUGGUCAUUUAGAACUGGCAAAC